GUUGGAUCGCCAGCUAGACCAAAAGGUCAAGGGUUCGAUUCACGGGAGAAGCUUUUAAUACCCUGAAAAAACUGUUUUCUUUUAUGUCCCAUUAAUUUUUGUUGCCUCUCCUUUCUGGAUUACCUUUCUCUGUACAAUACUUCAUUCUCAUUUAUUUUUAUAAUCUCCUAAUUCUAUUGCAGAUUUCACCUGACUUUGGUUAUUACUGCAACAAUAUGCUGCUGGAUGAUGUGGGCAAUUGUUUAUAUGGCCCAAAUGAAACCGCUCAUAGUACCGAUAUUGAAUGAGAGUGAAUAAAUCUCAACUUGAACAGAUUUAGGCUCCUUGUAAGUUAGAGAAUGUGGAUCAAGUUUGGCUGCUGGAGAAAAUUUGAUUUCGAUUUCGGCUCUCAUGAAUCAUUCAGUAUUUUCUAAAGGUGGAUUUGUAUGUAUUUAUUGUUGGAUAAUGGUAUUUCAUUUGCCAUUUCUAUAUUGCUGCCUGAUGUUUGUAUUACAAUGUUUGUAUUUAACACUCAUUCAUUUCAGAGAUCGGUAGACAAUGAUAUUGGGUAUGUAUUUUGGUGACAAAUAAGUUCAUUAAAGAAAUGUUUUUCUCUA